UGGAAACGUAUGCUAAUACCGAAUAUGCUCUACGGAGUAAAGGUGCCCUCUCCUUGGAAGGUAUCGCUAUAGGAUGAGCCCGCGUGAGAUUAGUUAGUUGGUAAGGUAAUGGCUUACCAAGGCGACGAUCUCUAGCUGGUUUGAGAGGAUGAUCAGCCACACUGGGACUGAGACACGGCCCAGACUCCUACGGGAGGCAGCAGUGGGGAAUAUUGCACAAUGAGCGAAAGCUUGAUGCAGCCAUACCGCGUGUGUGAAGAAGGCCCGAGGGUUGUAAAGCACUUUCAAUUGUGAGGAAGAUAGUGUCGUUAAUAUCGGCAUUGUUUGACGUUAACUUUAGAAGAAGCACCGGCUAACUCUGUGCCAGCAGCCGCGGUAAUACAGAGGGUGCAAGCGUUAUUCGGAAUUACUGGGCGUAAAGCGCGCGUAGGCGGAUUAUUAAGUCAGUUGUGAAAGCCCUGGGCUCAACCUGGGAACUGCAUCUGAUACUGGUAGUCUAGAGUUUAAGAGAGGGAAGUGGAAUUCCAGGUGUAGCAGUGAAAUGCGUAGAUAUCUGGAGGAACAUCAGUGGCGAAGGCGACUUCCUGGCUUAAAACUGACGCUGAGGUGCGAAAGCGUGGGUAGCGAACGGGAUUAGAU
rnacentral:rRNA from 1 species